rnacentral:rRNA from 1 species
GGUGUGUUGGGUCAGGAGUCGGCGGGAUGGUGAAGGGGGAGAGGGUUAGUGGUAGUUAAUGUGCUGAAAGGGGGCUUAGGUUGUUGUUUAAGUCUGCUGUGAAAUCCCCGGGCGCAACCUGGGAAUGGCAGUGGAGACUGGAAAGGUAGAGUGCGGUAGAGGGUAGUGGAAUUCCCGGUGUAGCAGUGAAAUGCGUAGAGAUCGGGAGGAACACCAGUGGCGAAGGCGGCUACCUGGACCAGCACUGACACUGAGGCACGAAAGCGUGGGGAGCAAACAGGAUUAGAUGCCCUAGUAGUC